GUAACAAGGUUUCCGUAGGUGAACCUGCGGAAGGAUCAUUACCGAGUGAGGGCCCUUUGGGUCCAACCUCCCACCCGUGUUUAUUUUACCUUGUUGCUUCGGCGGGCCCGCCUUUACUGGCCGCCGGGGGGCUCACGCCCCCGGGCCCGCGCCCGCCGAAGACACCCCCGAACUCUGUCUGAAGAUUGAAGUCUGAGUGAAAAUAUAAAUUAUUUAAAACUUUCAACAACGGAUCUCUUGGUUCCGGCAUCGAUGAAGAACGCAGCGAAAUGCGAUACGUAAUGUGAAUUGCAAAUUCAGUGAAUCAUCGAGUCUUUGAACGCACAUUGCGCCCCCUGGUAUUCCGGGGGGCAUGCCUGUCCGAGCGUCAUUGCUGCCCUCAAGCCCGGCUUGUGUGUUGGGCCCCGUCCUCCGAUUCCGGGGGACGGGCCCGAAAGGCAGCGGCGGCACCGCGUCCGGUCCUCGAGCGUAUGGGGCUUUGUCACCCGCUCUGUAGGCCCGGCCGGCGCUUGCCGAUCAACCCAAAUUUUUAUCCAGGUUGACCUCGGAUCAGUAGGGAUACCCGCUGAACUUAAGCAUAUCA
rnacentral:misc_RNA from 1 species